UGAUAGCAAUUAGAAGGGUUGGGAAUCCCUGC
rnacentral:piRNA from 1 species